UGCUGUGCUUUUAAGGCUAACACAUGGCACAACUUGGGCUUCAUGCUUGGCGCCCAGCAGCCUUUCAUACACAGGAUUACCAACACCUGGGCCAAGAGGACUUUCACUUCAUCUUGGACUAGGUGUGGACCUGCCCGUUUCCCAUUUUGGGGACCUGAACAUGGAGCAGGUUCUGCAACACGCUGCUUUGAAUGUACCUGCUGGAAGGGCUCGUUCCUCCCUCCUGGGCAGGAGGAGAGGGAGGCACAAAUAUCACGGUGCCUCCCUGUCCCCCAGCUGCCCUGGGAAGACCUCGCCUCCCCGUAUCAGAUAGCAGCCACGCGCGGCCGCUGCGCUGAGCCGCUUACGCCGGGCUUGUGAGCUCCCUCGCCAGGAAAGGGGUUAAAGCAAGAUAAAGCUGGAGCGUUAUGGAGACCAUAUGGAGGGGAAGAAAACCCUUUAUCCUGUAAUUGGAUUCGUUCCCAGCAGCUCCCGGCGGAGGUGAGGCUGAGUGGAGCUGACAGGACGUGAUGGGUGAGGCGCUGCCAGCCGCCCCGUCCAAAGCAGGAUGUGUGUGCACAAACUUCUAGAUCAAUCCGUUAG
rnacentral:lncRNA from 1 species